UUUUAUUAAGGUGACGUUGAAGUAAAAAGAAAACGGUACAGAGUUUAAGCAUAGAAGUUUCUGGUUAUCAGGGAAUAAGGUACCGAUUAUCAAGGGGUGUGAAAUUCGGUUUAAGAACGGGUGGCGUAAGCAAUACAUAAUCUGCGAUCUCCCCGAUUGUGGGUAGAAGGUUAAUGAGUCAAAGUACAGACAUUGAGAUAUGGGUGUAUGUUGUUCAUAUAAUGGCUAUGUUCAGGUGAGGAGUAGAAUGAGUGGA